rnacentral:rRNA from 1 species
CCUACGGGGUGGCAGCAGUGGGGAAUAUUGGACAAUGGGCGAAAGCCUGAUCCAGCCAUGCCGCGUGUGUGAAGAAGGCCUUCGGGUUGUAAAGCACUUUCAGUGGGGAAGAAAGCCUUGGGGCUAAUACCCUCGAGGAAGGACAUCACCCACAGAAGAAGCACCGGCUAACUCCGUGCCAGCAGCCGCGGUAAUACGGAGGGUGCGAGCGUUAAUCGGAAUUACUGGGCGUAAAGCGCGCGUAGGCGGUCUGAUAAGCCGGUUGUGAAAGCCCCGGGCUCAACCUGGGAACGGCAUCCGGAACUGUCAGGCUAGAGUGCAGGAGAGGAAGGUAGAAUUCCCGGUGUAGCGGUGAAAUGCGUAGAGAUCGGGAGGAAUACCAGUGGCGAAGGCGGCCUUCUGGACUGACACUGACGCUGAGGUGCGAAAGCGUGGGUAGCAAACAGGAUUAGAUACCCCAGUAGUC